rnacentral:rRNA from 1 species
UACGAAGGGGGCUAGCGUUGCUCGGAAUUACUGGGCGUAAAGGGCGCGUAGGCGGACAGUUUAGUCAGAGGUGAAAGCCCAGAGCUCAACCUUGGAAUUGCCUUUGAUACUGGCUGUCUUGAGUUCGGGAGAGGUGAGUGGAAUGCCGAGUGUAGAGGUGAAAUUCGUAGAUAUUCGGCGGAACACCAGUGGCGAAGGCGACUCACUGGCCCGAUACUGACGCUGAGGCGCGAAAGCGUGGGGAGCAAACAGG